AAAGUCUGACCUGCUCUAUGAUUAAGUAUUAAAUGGCCGCGAUAUUUUGAUCGUGCAAAGGUAGCAUAAUCAUUAGUUUCUUAAUUAGGAACUGGUAUGAAAGGUUGGACAAGAAAAAUACUGUCUCAAUUUAAUUUAAUUAGAAUUUUAUUUUUAAGUCAAAAAGCUUAAAUAAUUUUAAAAGACGAGAAGACCCUAUAGAGUUUUAUAUUAAUAAUUUUAAAAUAAAGUUAAGAAUUAAAUUUUUUUUAUUAAUAAUUAAUAUUUAGUUGGGGUGACUAAAAAAUUGAAUAAACUUUUAUUUUAUAAUAUUCAUUGAUUUAUGA
rnacentral:rRNA from 1 species